rnacentral:rRNA from 1 species
CCUACGGGGAGCAGCAGUAGGGAAUUUUUCACAAUGGGCGAAAGCCUGAUGGAGCAACGCCGCGUGCAGGAUGAAGGCCUUCGGGUUGUAAACUGCUUUUAUAAGCGAGAAAUAUGAUGGUAACUUAUGAAUAAGGAUCGGCUAACUACGUGCCAGCAGCCGCGGUCAUACGUAGGAUCCGAGCAUUAUCCGGAGUGACUGGGUGUAAAGAGUUGCGUAGGUGGCAUAAUAAGUAGCUAGUGAAAUCUGGUGGCUCAACCAUUCAGACUAUUAGCUAAACUGUUAAGCUCGAGACCGUUAGGGGUAACUGGAAUUUCUAGUGUAGGAGUGAAAUCCGUAGAUAUUAGAAGGAACACCAAUAGCGUAGGCAGGUUGCUGGGACGGUUCUGACACUAAGGCACGAAAGCGUAGGGAGCAAACGGGAUUAGAUACCCCUGUAGUC